CAAAAUAAACAAGACUAGAUUGCAUAAAAAUACUUAAGAUUCAUACAAAAUCUCAAAGGAGAAAAAAGAAAUUCAAAACAAGUCUCCCCUCUUCUCUAAAACUAGGUUAUGAGUAUUUAUAUAAAAGGGGAAAACGAACCGGGUCAACCCGGAACAAACCGGGUUUAGAAAAGCAAUCGACCAGGCAAUCGACCACUUGGUCGAUUCAAAUCUUGUCCGUAGCUCUGAUCUAUAUCAAUCGACCGGGCAAUCGACCGGUCAAUCGACCAAGCAAUCGACCAA
rnacentral:lncRNA from 1 species